GAGGUCUUACUAAGCAAAGGAUGGUUGUCGUGACCGCCUCGCUGAUGAACUCCAAGGCAGGGGAGUUCAUGGGCUUUCCUGGAGACAAGACCCUCCAGGAACUUCUCACCCCUCUCUGAGUGAAAGCCCAAGACCUCACACCCCCUGCAAGGCCGCUGUAGAUCCUGCCCUGCCUCUCUUU